rnacentral:rRNA from 1 species
UACGUAGGGCGCAAGCGUUGUCCGGAAUUAUUGGGCGUAAAGAGCUCGUAGGCGGCUUGUCACGUCGGAUGUGAAAGCCCGAGGCUUAACCUCGGGUCUGCAUUCGAUACGGGCUAGCUAGAGUGUGGUAGGGGAGAUCGGAAUUCCUGGUGUAGCGGUGAAAUGCGCAGAUAUCAGGAGGAACACCGAUGGCGAAGGCAGCUCGCUGGGACGGUACUGACGCUGAGGCGCGAAAGCGUGGGGAGCAAACAGG